UACAGAGGGGGCAAGCGUUGUCCGGACUUACUGGGCGUAAAGAGCGCGCAGGCGGUCGUUCAAGUCGAGUGUGAAAGCCCCCGGCUCAACUAGGGAGGGUCAUUCGAUACUGAUCGACUCGAAGGCAGGAGAGGGAAGUGGAAUUCCCGGUGUAGUGGUGAAAUGCGUAGAUAUCGGGAGGUACACCAGUGGCGAAGGCGACUUCCUGGCCUGUUCUUGACGCUGAGGCGCGAAAGCUAGGGGAGCAAACGGG
rnacentral:rRNA from 1 species